CUGGCCCGAUUAGAGCUGUGAAUACCGAGUUGUUCAGGGAGGAUUUUGCAGCUGACUGAUCACAGGCUGUCGGAGCAGGCCUUGGACAACAGCUGCAAGGCUUGCUGGGCUGCAGAAACAAAAGGCGCCUAGCACGGUGCAAAGAAAGAGUUGACAGGUUGUUGUUAGCAGUGGCAAAUGUGUGAGAAUCCUAGGGCAACAUGCAGGAUGGACACUUGGACCAUGACAAAUUUAAGAUCCAGCAUCUUGGAGGCUUUCCUGGCCACAAGCCAUACUUUUCUGGAAUGGAAAAAACCUUUUUAAUAAGGCAUUUUCAGUAAGAAAUUCACCAUUUAACCCUGGGGAGUGAAUUUCAUUGUGAUUAAAGCACCUGGCUUUUGGAGCAAGGGAGACAAAAAAACAGUUACUGUGCCAUGACACAAGGGUAGAACACUGCUUUAAAGGGCUGCUGACUCUGGACAAUUUACAUGCUAAUUUCAGAAAUGAUUCCUCCUACAUUAAAUAAGGAGCUGAGGAAUGUUCCAAAGGUCUAGACAGACCAUGCCAUUAACAGAUUGGGUAAAUCAACAUUAAUACUGCCCACAGCAUAUUACACCGUGUGAACUUUCUUCACUGCCCACACUUUACUAAUUUUAGUUCCACGUGGUUCCUCAGCUGACUGGCCAAAAUAUAAACUACACCAGCUCCCUAAAGCCUCCCUGUGCCCAUCUUGACCUUGGACUUGCCUUUAAUAUUAAACUUGAGAAAAAAAUCCUGAUUGGUCACACUUUUUAAUUCAGGGUAUGUUUAUAAAUGGUUUAUAAAGGGUUAAUAAUGAUUAAUAGAUUAUGAAAAUGUCAAAGAAGCAUAGACAACUAUAAACACUAAGAAGAGCUGUUUGGCACCCAAUACUAACUGAUCAGCCAUCUAGAACAUACAUUCUAGCCCAAACUCCAUCAGUGUGAAGGCCAAGUCUGGCAGAUAAUUCAAAUAUCUUCAAGCUUGUUUGAGUAUUGACAAG